rnacentral:rRNA from 1 species
GACGAACGCUGGCGGCGUGCUUAACACAUGCAAGUCGAACGGAAAGGCCCUGCUUUUGUGGGGUGCUCGAGUGGCGAACGGGUGAGUAACACGUGAGUAACCUGCCCUUGACUUUGGGAUAACUUCAGGAAACUGGGGCUAAUACCGGAUAGGAGCUCCUGCUGCAUGGUGGGGGUUGGAAAGUUUCGGCGGUUGGGGAUGGACUCGCGGCUUAUCAGCUUGUUGGUGGGGUAGUGGCUUACCAAGGCUUUGACGGGUAGCCGGCCUGAGAGGGUGACCGGCCACAUUGGGCCUGAGAUACGGACCAGUCUCCUACGGGAGGCAGCAGUGGGGAAUAUUGCACAAUGGGCGCAAGCCUGAUGCAGCAACGCCGCGUGCGGGAUGACGGCCUUCGGGUUGUAAACCGCUUUCGCCUGUGACGAAGCGUGAGUGACGGUAAUGGGUAAAGAAGCACCGGCUAACUACGUG